rnacentral:misc_RNA from 1 species
CGAUUUAUCGUUUGAGAUUUGAUUUCGAAAUUACGUCCGUUGAUCGUCGAAACAUUCGAGAGAGUCGCCCUAAGGACAUUGGAAAGUGAUCCGGUGGCGGACGCGCGUGGAUCGUGCCAGUUGCCCUUCAAAACAGUUUGGCGCCCUUAAGCUAUUCCUUCCCCUUUCUACUUUUAAACUCAAAGAGUUGUGCAUAUACAACAACAACACACGUGAUGUUUUCGUUCGUUCACGGUGUGCUCGACCAUAACCAAGAAAAACUAAAAUCUUUUUUUGGGAAAAGCAAAGUUUUCUUGUUCAGCCAGAAACAAACUCGAAUCUUAUUCAUCUGCCGACUGCUCUCCAGUCGAGUCUUCUCGUCGUCUAAUUGAAACUGAAUUGUUGCGAUGCAUUCCAGAGAGAUUGUCAGAAAAGCUGGGCAGAGGAUCGAGUGGCUGCUGAAGAAAGGAGCCAAAUACUUUGGGAUCGCUAUUAUUAAGGUCUUCAAUCAACCCGGACUGUACACGGAAGAAUCCCGUACGUGCGUCUGCUAAAUUGAGAAAUGCCUAACAACAAAGAAAAACAAGUCUCUUCGGUUUUGAUGAGAUUGGAGACGACGGUCUGUACAGAAUUGCUGAUUCCUUCUCUCUCUUCCUGAUUUUCUACGUAUGUUUUUUAUUCUAACCCAUACAGCACGAAAUCCUGUCAGGAUUUUUGAUGCCCAUCAAUCAGUUUGAUUGAAGAUUCUGUUUUUUAGCUAAACUGUUGUGAAUUAUUCUCCUAAAAUGUGUUGCCUUGUGAAUUAUGCGUCCGUGUUCUUCCCUUUUUCCAAACGAAAACACAAACACAAUUGACGACGACAUUCUAUUUCGCCCUUUUUCUGAAUGAGGAUUCCACUUUUAUGCCAAUGGUUUCCUCAAACCAUUUUUUUUUUUUUUCAACAUGUGUCCAGUUUAUAUAUUUCCGAUUGGUCGGAUUGUGUUAUGAUAUCGUUGUCGUCGAGAUUUUUAAGGAAAAGGGAACAAAUUUUAAAAUACAAUUCAAAUAAUAACAA